GACGAACGCUGGCGGCGUGCUUAACACAUGCCAGUCGAACGGAAAGGCCCCUUUGGGGGUACUCGAGUGGCGAACGGGUGCGUAACACGUGAGUAACCUGCCCUUGACUUCGGGAUAACUUCAGGAAACUGGGGCUAAUACCGGAUAGGAAUCCUUGCUGCAUGGUGGGGGUUGGAAAGCUUCGGCGGUUUUGGAUGGACUCGCGGCUUAUCAGCUUGUUGGUGGGGUAGUGGCUUACCAAGGCUUUGACGGGUAGCCGGCCUGAGAGGGCGACCGGCCACUUUGGGACUGAGAUACGGCCCAGACUCCUACGGGAGGCAGCAGUGGGGAAUAUUGCACAAUGGGCGGAAGCCUGAUGCAGCAACGCCGCGGGCGGGAUGACGGCCUUCGGGUUGUAAACCGCUUUCAGCAGGGGCGAAGCUUGUGGUGACGGUACCUGCAGAAGAAGCACCGGCUAACUACGUG
rnacentral:rRNA from 1 species